GACGAACGCUGGCGGCGUGCUUAACACAUGCAAGUCGAACGGAAAGGCCCUGCUUUUGUGGGGUGCUCGAGUGGCGAACGGGUGAGUAACACGUGAGUAACCUGCCCUUGACUUUGGGAUAACUUCAGGAAACUGGGGCUAAUACCGGAUAGGAGCUCCUGCUGCAUGGUUGGGGUUGGAAAGUUUCGGCGGUUGGGGAUGGACUCGCGGCUUAUCAGCUUGUUGGUGGGGUAGUGGCUUACCAAGGCUUUGACGGGUAGCCGGCCUGAGAGGGUGACCGGCCAAAUUGGGACUGAGAGACGGCCCAGACUCCUACGGGAGGCAGCAGGGGGGAAUAUUGCACAAUGGGCGGAAGCCUGAUGCAGCAACGCCGCGUGCGGGAUGACGGCCUUCGGGUUGUAAACCGCUUUCGCCUGUGACGAAGCGUGAGUGACGGUAAUGGGUAAAGAAGCACCGGCUAACUACGUG
rnacentral:rRNA from 1 species